UAAAGAUUCUUUGCAGCUACGAAAAUACUCACAAAUAUUUUUCGUAAACAAAAAAUUCUCGUUUGGCAACCAAAUAUGUGCCAAAACAACAUCAAAAGCGGCACAAUUAAAGCCAAUGCAACGCUCCACAUAAUUAUAUUAACCAACUCAGAAAAGGGAAAACAAUGGAAAUAUUAAAGAAAAGGAGUGGAAUGAACGGCAGAUGGUUACACAUUAAUUUAUAAUUAUUUGGGCUUCCACCAAAGGGUUAAUCAGAACAAGUGCCACUUUGUUGAAAGCGCAGACGAACAAAUUGAGAAAAAAAUGGAUAUUGAACGUUAUUGUGUAUACCCUUUC
ensembl:ncRNA lncRNA:CR44578 long non-coding RNA:CR44578